rnacentral:rRNA from 1 species
GGGCCCGCACAAGCGGCGGAGCAUGUUGCUUAAUUCGACGCAACGCGAAGAACCUUACCAAGGCUUGACAUGGCCUCAAAAGCCGCAGAGAUGCGGUGUCCGCAAGGGGGGGUCACAGGUGGUGCAUGGCUGUCGUCAGCUCGUGUCGUGAGAUGUUGGGUUAAGUCCCGCAACGAGCGCAACCCUCGUCCUAUGUUGCCAGCGGGUAAUGCCGGGGACUCAUGGGAGACUGCCGGGGUCAACUCGGAGGAAGGUGGGGAUGACGUCAAGUCAUCAUGCCCCUUAUGCCUUGGGCUGCAAACAUGCUACAAUGGCCGGUACAAAGGGCUGCGAUGCCGUGAGGCGGAGCGAAUCCCGGAAAGCCGGUCUCAGUUCGGAUCGGGGUCUGCAACUCGACCCCGUGAAGUCGGAGUCGCUAGUAAUCGCGAAUCAGCAACGUCGCGGUGAAUACGUUCCCGGGCCUU